AAAGCUACAAAAAAUCAAAUAAUUCUUUUAUUUACUACAAGCAUUCUUUGCAGUAGUACUUUUUUGUUCUUGGUCUCACUUUUCGCAGUUUUAAUGAGCCCAUUCUUUGCAACUCAUGCACUGGAUCAUAUCCUGUACCUCAUCCUGUUUGUACAAUUUGCAAAGCCAUCCCACCAUGUUAUUUUCAAUAUCUGCAGGAAGGUCAACAGUUCUUCCAAAUGCCUGCUUGUGUGUUCUACAGCAUUAAUAUUGAUACAAUCAAUGCGCCUCUUUAAUCUAGCUUUGGGGACAUUAUAGGUACGAGCUGCACUGUUUAGCCCCAUGUCCUCAUUUCUGUAGGCAGUUAAAGCCCUUUCCAUCAACUCUUUUUCUCAGACAUCAUAUUUGACUCGUUUUAAUGUCAUCUGUAGAAAGUGAAAGAUAAAAACAAAUAGUAGGCCCUAUAUAAUUCUGCUUAGCCUAUGCAUUCCGAAUAAAAUAUAUAUAGGC
rnacentral:lncRNA from 1 species